GACCUGGUCGCGAAAUUAUCGCGCCCGCCUUCAAUACAAGUAUCCGUCGCUCUUCUGUUGCGGGAGGUCCUGGUUCGACUCCAGGCUGGGUCA